CCUACGGGAGGCAGCAGUGGGGAAUAUUGGACAAUGGGCGAAAGCCUGAUCCAGCAAUGCCGCGUGAGUGAUGAAGGCCUUCGGGUCGUAAAGCUCUUUUACCAGGGAUGAUAAUGACAGUACCUGGAGAAUAAGCUCCGGCUAACUCCGUGCCAGCAGCCGCGGUAAUACGGAGGGAGCUAGCGUUGUUCGGAAUUACUGGGCGUAAAGAGUACGUAGGCGGUUAUUCAAGUCAGAGGUGAAAGCCCGGGGCUCAACCCCGGAACUGCCUUUGAAACUAGAUAACUAGAGUCUUGGAGAGGUUAGUGGAAUUCCGAGUGUAGAGGUGAAAUUCGUAGAUAUUCGGAAGAACACCAGUGGCGAAGGCGACUAACUGGACAAGUACUGACGCUGAGGUACGAAAGCGUGGGGAGCAAACAGGAUUAGAUACCCUGGUAGUCCACGCCGUAAACGAUGAUAACUAGUUGUUCGGUCACUUGGUGACUGAGUGACGCAGCUAACGCAUUAAGUUAUCCGCCUGGGGAGUACGGUCGCAAGAUUAAAACUACAAAGGAAUUGACGGCGNGAAGAGUGCGAGACGACACGAGGAGGAGG
rnacentral:rRNA from 1 species